GACGAACGCUGGCGGCGUGCCUAAUACAUGCAAGUCGAACGCAGUGGGGACGGGUGAGUAACACGUGGGUAACCUCCCCUCAGAGGGGAUAACACUUGGAAACAGGUGCUAAACCGAUACUGAUGGAUGGACCCGCGGUGCAUUAGCUAGUUGGUGAGGAAACGGCUCACCAAGGCCAGGAUGAAUAGCCGACCUGGGGGGGUGAUCGGCCAAACUGGGAUGGAGAAACGGCCCAGACUCCUAGGGAGGGCAGCAGUAGGAAAUCUUCGGCAAGGGACGAAAGUCUGACCGGGCAACGCCGGGUGAGGGAAGAAGGUUUUCGGAUCGUAAAACUCUGUUGUUAGAGAAGCGGUAUCUAACCAGAAAGCCACGGCUAACUACGUGCCAGCAGCCGCGGUAAUUC
rnacentral:rRNA from 1 species